AACGAACGCUGGCGGCAGGCCUAACACAUGCAAGUCGAACGCCGUAGCAAUACGGAGUGGCAGACGGGUGAGUAACGCGUGGGAACGUGCCCUUUGGUUCGGAAUAACCCAGGGAAACUUGGGCUAAUACCGGAUACGUCCGAAAGGAGAAAGAUUUAUCGCCGAAGGAUCGGCCCGCGUCGGAUUAGCUAGUUGGUGGGGUAAUGGCCUACCAAGGCGACGAUCCGUAGCUGGUCUGAGAGGAUGAUCAGCCACACUGGGACUGAGACACGGCCCAGAUUCCUACGGGAGGCAGCAGUGGGGAAUAUUGGACAAUGGGCGAAAGCCUGAUCCAGCCAUGCCGCGUGAGUGAAGAAGGCCUUAGGGUUGUAAAGCUCUUUCAGCGGGGAAGAUAAUGACGGUACCCGCAGAAGAAGCCCCGGCUAACUUCGUGCCAGCAGCCGCGGUAAUACGAAGGGGGCUAGCGUUGUUCGGAUUUACUGGGCGUAAAGCGCGCGUAGGCGGGUCGCUAAGUCAGGGGUG
rnacentral:rRNA from 1 species